rnacentral:rRNA from 1 species
UUGCUCGGAAUUACUGGGCGUAAAGGGCGCGUAGGCGGACAGUUUAGUCAGAGGUGAAAGCCCAGGGCUCAACCUUGGAAUUGCCUUUGAUACUGGCUGUCUUGAGUUCGGGAGAGGUGAGUGGAAUGCCGAGUGUAGAGGUGAAAUUCGUAGAUAUUCGGCGGAACACCAGUGGCGAAGGCGACUCACUGGCCCGAUACUGACGCUGAGGCGCGAAAGCGUGGGGAGCAAACAGG